rnacentral:rRNA from 1 species
AGCAGUAGCCGCGGUAAUACGUAGGUCCCGGGCGUUGUCCGGAUUUAUUGGGCGUAAAGCGAGCGCAGGCGGUUAGAUAAGUCUGAAGUUAAAGGCUGUGGCUUAACCAUAGUACGCUUUGGAAACUGUUUAACUUGAGUGCAAGAGGGGAGAGUGGAAUUCCAUGUGUAGCGGUGAAAUGCGUAGAUAUAUGGAGGAACACCGGUGGCGAAAGCGGCUCUCUGGCUUGUAACUGACGCUGAGGCUCGAAAGCGUGGGGAGCAAACAGGAUUAGAUACCCGAGUAGUCCCUGUCUCUUAUACC